CUGUGGGCUGAGAUGCAUUGGUGUUGACGGUCAGUGAGGAGGUGAUGUAAUUUCAGAUAUUCUCAGGCUGUGGUCUCCCAAUGAGGAAGUCAAGGAGCCUUAGGUACCACCCCACCAGUUUCAGGAACAGGUUACCCUUCAAUCAUCAGGCUCCUCAACCAGCAUGGGUAACUUCAUUCACCUCAACGCUGAACUGAUAUGACAACCUGUAGACUCACUUUCUCAGACUCCGCAUCUCAUGUUCUCAGUAUUAUUUAUUUACUUUUCUAAAGUUGGCACUGUUUGUCUUGAUUGUUUCAGUCUUUAUGUGUAGUUUUUUUAAUUAAUUUUAUUGUAUUCCUCUGUGCUACUGUGAAUGCCCACAAGAAAAUGAAUCUUAAGGUAGUAUACUUUUACUUUGAAACUUAUUUUAAAAUGUUUCAAAACUUUUAAGGUAGGUGCUGAUGGAAAGUCUCACAUGUGAAGUGCUGGUUGUUUCUCUUUCUGCAGAUGCUGUCCGACCAGCUGAGUGUUUCCAGCAUUUCCUGUUUAGUUCUAUUCCAUGAUGUUCUUUUUUGCCAUUUAAUAUACACUCGCUCCUGUGCUUGCACCUUUAGAUUUGCAUCUAACGUUGAGGUAUGCCUGCGAACAUGACCUUGUGUACUCCUCAUUUUACCCCAGGCUGCUAUUCACCUGUGACCUAGCUCCAGGGAAUAGACUGCUUUGCCAUUCAGAGCCCUUCACCAAAAUGACCAUCCUGUAAGGAGAGGCAGCAAUUCCACUAACUGCCUGAAAGUUAUCACCAUCAAAUGCCUGUUAUGCCACUGAAGGUCCUCUAUCUCUCUCUCUGUCCUUGGCCAUGGUUGAGGCUCCUCAUUUCUGCCUCUACGGUACGGCACCAAGUAGUCCCUGGUCUCUUGCAUUUCCUCCGCCCUUUCAGGGUCCAGUGGUGUGCUGUCUUGAUGAUGGAGUUGGCCUCUCGUGCCCCAUCCAUCUCCAAUGUUGUACGUGGCCUUGAGGACACUGAGGAGUAUUGGAGUAUAAAAGUUGCAACUUUGCUAUUUGCUAGAGAAUGAAAUAUUAAGAAUGUAGAAGACAAUGGUGUGUUAAUGAAAGGUAGCUAAGAGAUGUAGAUUAGAACAUGAUUAAGUCAGGAAAUCCUAAGAAUGUAGAAGACAAUGGUGUGUUAAUAAGAGAAAGCUAAGAGAUGUAAAUUAUGUAGUCUGAGUUUGCUAUUUGCUAUGCAUUUACCCAAUUUAGUAGGAGAAUGAAAUCUUAAGAAUGUAGAGACAAUGGUGUGUUAAUGAGAGGUAGCUAAGAGAUGUAGAUUAGAACAUGAUUAAGUCAAUGGGUAGAAACAACAGUGGCUGAUGUACCUGUGAUACGCAACUAUAGACCGAUUAGAUAUGCUAAUAUAACUAAAUCAGGAGAUUGCUAUAAAACAUGCUAUGUCCAAGGAUCGGUGGAUAAUCAGCGACUAGCUUACUGACUGUCUCAGCUUUGAUUUGCAAAUUAAAGUUUAACCCUUCUUGAAGAAUCUUCUGCGUCUCCUGGUUGUUUGUGGGACACAAGAAACCACGACAAAAUUGGCAACCGCGAAAGGACUGGAAAGAGACCCGCGGAAAGGAAACGGCAGAUUGGGGACGCUUCUCAGUCCUCUAGGGACCCCCACAAGGCUAACAGAAUUAAGGGUGCACCCAAACAAAAGGUAAGCGCUUUUUGCGACAAUUUGGACUAAGAAUUCUGUUGGUUUUGGGGAGGUCUUGGAGUCUCAGAAGUGUGGAACCACUGCCAAAGGGUCUCUCCAGUCCAAAGAAUCUGGCAGAAUUGGGGGUUAACAGGAGGCUCAGAGGAUUGAUCAAGAACACUGCAGUGAGGGUCAGUACAAAUAAGCUAAUAAAAAGUUAAGAAAAAUUCCACAUGGUGUUGGUAAGUCCCCUUGGAUACCGCUUCAUAUGAAAUGAAGGUCUGAACGGGCAGAGAAAGGGAAAAUAGAGAACAUCCCUGUGGAUACCGCUUCGUAUGAAGCGAAGGUCUGAAUGGGCAGGGAAAGGGAAAAUAGAGAACAUCCCUGUGGAUACCGCUUCGUAUAAAACGAAGGUCUGAACGGGCAGGGAAAGGCAAAAUAGAGAAAAUCCUCGUGGAUACCGCCUUAAGAGAUAAGGGUCUGAAUAGAUGAGGUGCAAAGAGCAAGUUCUGUGGAUACCGCUUUGAAUAGAGGUCUGUAUGGGCAGAACAGAAUAGGAAACAAGGACAGUCCAAUAUAUAGUUUAAAGCGCUGGUAGAUAGACAUUAUCUAUAGAUAUUAUCCAGUAAAUGAACUAUGAAUCUCUGAAAUACCUUAAAAAGAGAGAAUAACAUGAUAGGUAAAGGAACAGCAGUAGAUAUUCUGAGCAAAAAAUUCCCGAUAAAUAAAUAUGAGAUCACAAAAACUUCAGAAAAAUGGGAAAAAAGAACCAAAAACCUGGUCACAAAGUGGCCAAGAGAAGGAACGUUUGAAGUAAGCUUGUGUGAAGAAAUGGAGGCACUAAUUAAAAAUCACAAACCAAAAGAUAAAUCUAAGAAAAGAGGGCAAAAAAGAGAACGAGAAAUGGAAGUGCUAAAACUCCAGAACGGAGGGAGAAAGGCUGAGGAGGACAGGUAGAAUAUUGAUUACAAGCGAGGAAGACACUAAGGUGCUGGAGAAACAGCCUGUUAGAGAGAGAGAGGAAGGUACAGUGAGAAACUGGCUUCAGCUCCGUACCCGGAUGCGAAAGUAACAGAAAAGCCCCCUCCCUAUAAUGAGGAAGGAACCCCUAAGCAGUGCCCCCUGCUGGCGGGGACAGUAAACAUGCAGGGAGAAGUACAAGUUUGGGAUAAUGAGGAGGAAAGAAGACAAUACGAGAAGGAAAAAGCGGCGAUAUGGAAGGAGAUAUAGGCAGAAAGGAUAAAGGUGGAACAGGCAAAGAGAGAAAUGGAAUAAGGGAUUGAACGGAUGAAAUACUUGAGAGAGGAAAAGGAAUAUGAGGAGUAUCGGUUAUACCAUAGAAAUAAACAGACUAGAAAAGAAAGUGGCUCAUCAGGGCAGGAAGAGAUGAGGCAUUCAAGAGGAAGUGGAAAAAAGAUAGGAGAUGAGAGUCUUGGAGAAACACAAGAGAGAAGGGAAUCAAGCACGAGUGAGGAUCAUGAGGAGUCCCUGCCACUUGUGUACAGACACGGACAGAAAGAAAGAGAAGGUGACUCAUUGGAGGAGCAAGAGUUAAGUGGAGAGAGAGAGGAUGUGAGAAUUUGUGGGGAAGAGGUAGGAGGCAGAAGCCCAGAAGAGCAGAAGGAGGCGGUAAGGGAGCGACUUGCGGAAGUAGAGAGAGAGCCAGAUAAGUUACUGAGAGGGGAUUGCCAGAGGAGAUGCGAAAAAUACUCCAGGGGCCAACCAAGUAUUGAAUCAAGACAGAAAGGAAGGACUCCACAAGGAGACCGAGGGAAAGAAGAGGACCCCGGAGACAUUUGUGUGGGAGGCAGUAAAGACAUACCCUGAGACAGUUGGGGAGUCAGGCGAGGAGGAGAGUCAGGGCAGGUGGGAAGAAGGAGGAAGAAUGAUGCCGUUGUUAGUUAAAGGAUCAGGACAAGUGCAGUAUAUCCCAUGGUGAUUCCAGGACCUAGAAGGGCUGAAAAACACUCUGCCCAAUCUACAUGAAGGAGCAGGGAAAUGGAUUAGAGCCUUUGAAGAAGAAACGGCGGGACGAUUAUUGGCUAUGGGAGAUUUGAAGUCACUAUUGAUAAGGUUGAUGGGAACAUCCAAAUUUAACGAACUAAUGGAAAUGGCUGGCAUAGUAAACUCGAACGACCCGAGAACUGAUGGAGACGGGUUUGACAGAGUGAGGCAGAGGGUAUGGCAGGCCCUCAGGAAGCUUUAUCCACCCAAAGUGGAACCCAAAGCCUUAAAGGGGGAUCCACUGAAAACCCAGCAGCCAACAUAGAAAACCAGUUGACAAGGUGGAGACUGGAGACUGAGCAAGAGGUGGAAAAUAGCUUAUUUAUCACCACACUGUUCCGACAUAGCAUUUUGGAUGCAAUGCCUCCGCAAGUAAAAUCCAAACUGGAGGAAGUGGUUGGGCUAACGUCAAAGACCCCACAAGAAUUUAGAGACCACAUAGUCCAUGCGAUUGAGAAAUACCGGAAAGACAAACGAAGGUUGGCCGAGCAGCAGCAAGACGUGCAGAGAAAGUUUAUACAAAUGUAGCUCAAAGAACUCAAAAAGAAAGAAAAAGAGAAAAGCAAAAAGAUGCUGCCAGCAACCACCGGUCCGAGUACAGCCAUCGAACUGGAUGAAGCGCUGCUAUAUGGAGGGACCGAUCAUACUGUAAGACAAGGGCUGGAAAACCACAUGCCAGUAAUCGUCUUUGGAGGAGCAUUCCCACAAAUGCCCUAUCAGGAACAAACUAAAUUCAAACAGCUCAGACAGGACUGAAAGUCCCAAGGAGGGGGACAGAGGAGCUAUGGGCAGAGGGGACCAAGUGAGGAAAUGGGGAAAGAGAGGUGGAGAGAUUGUGCUGGGGAUGUAAUCAGCCAGGUCUCAUGAGAAGAGAUUGUCCGUUUACACCAUGGCCUGUCACACACCAGCAGGAACCGAUAAGAAGGGAACUAAAGCUUAGCCAAGGACCAGCCCCCAAAGGCCCAAGCGGACCUGUGAACCCCUAUGCGAGGUAUUAGGGGUGCCCCGAGAACUCAAGUGGGAAGGGACAUUACCCAAUGAUAACAAGGGAGGCAGACAAGGAACCCAUUGUUCAGGUUAUGUUAGAAGGGCAACUGACACCAAUGAUGAUAGAUACUGGAACCACGUACACUUGUGUACAGCCACAGUAUGCCCUUCACCUUCCCAUGUCAGGAAAGUUUAUUAAGAUGGUGGUAGGGUUCUUGGGGAAAACACAGUGCACGGCUCCAGUGCGGUUGAGAAUGGGAAAUAAAGGAAUUGUUUUGCUGGUGCUAGUAUUUAAAGGAACUCCGAUUAAUUUGUUAGGCAGAGAUGCCUUAUUGAAACUGGAAUUAAAAUUAGAAUGUACCAGAAAUGGGCUGAGUGUGGAAAGAGCAGGGGCUCAAUUGAUAGUGCGAGAAGACAAGAUAGGAGACAUCACAGAUCAGAUUCAGGAAACCUGGGAAAAAUGGAAAAAGGGCGUGCAGGCUAUAUUACCCAGGGCUGUAAUGCCCAAAUCUGAGCUACAUUGUAGUGAUUUUUGACGAGACUCAGAACAGGGAGUUAGAGGAGAGGUGGCACCUGGAGGCAUGUACCCAACAGCACCUGGAAGGGGAGGCUGUGAUAAUUGGAAAGCAAGGGGCAGCUUUACAAGUUAAGUGGAACACCUUUUUAGAAAAAUGGUACAGGAUACCAGAGGCUGCGCCCCACAUAACGUUGUUGGUAAACAAGGGAUAUCAGUCUAAAGACUUAGGACCCUUAGUUAAAAGUGCUGAAACCAUAACAGUGUGGAGGAAAAUCACGCCAGAGGUGCGGAUAUCAGAAGGCAACAAUUGCAUUAAAAUAAUGGUAAGUGUAGAUAUGGUAGGGACAGUGAGAGAGGUCAAAAUAACUCCCCAACCACACGUACCCUUGCUGGGAAAGGAAAGAGGCCAGCAGAAAGAUAGAAGGUUAGAUGAGUUGCCAUCUAUUCUGUGGUCUCAGCAUGACACGGACAUAGGGAAAAUAAAAACAGCUAGUCCGGUGGAAAUAAGGCUGAAAAGGGGAGCAAUUCCACCCAGGAGACUACAAUACCCUCUAAGACCAGAAGCAGAAGAGGGAAUAGCAUCGACAGUGCAGGGGUUGCUUGAAAUAGGAGUGCUUAAAAGAACAAACAGUCCAUACAAUACCCCGUUGCUGCCGGUCUUAAAAGCAGAUAAAUCUAAGUGGAGAUUGGUGCAUGAUUUGCGAGUGGUAAAUGAUGUGGUCGAGGACUGGCCAGCGGUAGUCCCCAACCCACACACGCUUUUGACUAAUGUUCCACCAGAAGCAAGUUACUUUUCAGUGUUUGAUUUGUGUUCGGCUUUCUUCAGCAUUCCUCCAGCCGACCAGUGUCAGUAUCUGUUUGCAUUUACUUACAGAGGUGCUCAGUAUACCUAUACCCGAAUGCCGCAAGGAUUUAAACAUUCACCACACAUUUUUAAUCAGGUUUUGAAGGCAGACCUAGAGGGCAUACCAUUGAAAAGUGCAUUGUUACAGUAUGUGGAUGACCUGUUGAUUUGCUCCCACAGUAAGGAACAGUGUGAGCAGGACACUAUAACUCUGUUAGAGAAGCUGGCGCACGGAGGACAUAAAGUAUCCAAAAAGAAACCGCAAUUUUGCAAGCAGCAAGUGGAAUACUUAGGCAGGGUAAUAUCCAAGGGAGUGAAGGCGAUAGCACCAGAUCAGAUUGAGACAAUAACUAAGGCCCCAAAGCCCCAGACAGUAGGGCAGAUGAUGAUGUUUUUGGGAAUGGCAGGGUACAGCUCAGAUUGGAUAGGAGAAUAUGCUGAGAUUGUGGCACCUUUGAGAAAGAUAAUGAAAGAAGCAGGACAUACAAAUUUGAAGAACGGCUUACAGUGGAAUGGAGAGGCGGAGAUAGCUUUCAAUACUACUAAGCAGGAAUUGCAGUCAGCACCAGCAUUAGCUUUGCCUGACUAUGAGAAGGUUUUUCAUUUGUAUGUAUCCAACCGACAGGAGGGUUAUGUCACAGUGGUUCUAACACAAGAGACAGGCACAGGAAAAGCAAAGCAGCCGAUAGCAUACUACAGUACGAGACUAGAUGAGGUGGCUCAGGGGUAUCCACCCUGUUAUCAGGGAUUGGCGGCGCUGUACUAUGCAUAUGAAAAGGCAUCAUCUGUAACCCUGGGCUAUCCUGUGACCCUGUACACACACCACAAAGUAGUAGAAUUGCUGGAAAGAGGGAAAUUUGUGCUGAUGCCAGCCAGGAUAGCAGCGUAUCAAAUGCUAUUGACAUUUCCAGACAUAACUAUACAGAGAUGCACUACCAAUAAUAUAGCCGAUUAUGUCCCUUUAGACAAUGAAGGAGAACCCCAUGAUUGUGUAGGGAAGACAAUGGCAUUUGCCAAAUUGAGAGCAGAUUUACAGUCAGAACCACUAGAGGAUGCAGAUAAAAAGGUUCUGUUCAUAGCUGGCUCUUGUUAUAGGGAUUAUGAUGGAAACCAUGCAGGGUUCUCAGUAGUGCAGCAGGAUCAGUCGAGCUAUAAGAUUAUUAGGAUGGAGUCCUGUCCCCAACUGUGUUCCACCCAACUAGCGGAAAUCAAAGCCCUGACAGCUGCGUGUGAAAUGAUGGAAGGUGAGAAAGUAGACAUCUAUACUGAUUCGGCAUAUGCUCAUGGAGUAUGCCAUUUGUUCAGGGCAGUGUGGAAGCAGAGAGGUUUUAAAGUGGAGAUCCCAUACAACAUUGUCAGCAAAUUCUAGACUUAAUAAAAGCCAUAAUGAAACCUGAAGCAUUGGCUAUAGUAAAAUGCCAGGCACAUAAAAAGGGAAAUUAUGUAAUAACAAAGGGAAAUCAAGCUGCAGACGAGGCAGCCAGAAAAGCAUCUGGGUGUACAUCAGCUGUUAUUGCCCCCCCCCCCCCCAGGUAAGCCUAGCUCCAGAACCUGAGGUAGAGGACCUAAUUGAAAUACAAGGUAAGGCAACUUUGGCAGAACAGACAAUGCGAAAAAAAAAAAUGGGGGCCAAGCAGAACCCGGAAGGCUUGUGGAGCACAGAAGACGGUUUGUUGGUAGCGCCCACCCCUCCACUAACGAUUCUGAUUUCAGAAGCGCAUGGGAUUGACCAUUGUGCAAGGAGGAAGUGAUAAAGAAAAUAGAGAAGGAUGGUUUUUGGUCACCUUAUUUACAGGCUUCAGUGGACUUUGUCUUGUCACAGUGCGAGGUAUGUGCACAGAAUAAUGUUCAGAAGGGAAUUACAACCCCAAUAGUUCACAUUCCUGUACCUGAAGGACCAUUUAAACAUUUAGUGAUCGAUUACAUAGACAUGAUAAAGACAGUGAGAGGGAAAAGAUACAUGCUGGUAGUAAUUGAUCGAUUUAGCAGAUGGGUGGAGGCGGUACCUUCAAGAGAUCAAGGGGCAAAAACAGUGGUAAAAUUUCUGACAGAUGAAGUGAUCCCAAGGUUUGGAAUACCUACAGAAGUUAGCUCAGACAAUGGUUCAGCUUUUAUCCAGAAAGUGGUCAAACUGGUACUACAAGCGCUGAGGAUAAAGCAAAGAUUUGGAUGUGUAUACCACCCUCAGUCGCAGGGCAUGGUAGAGAGAAUUAAUGGAACCCUGAAAGCCAAACUAAACAAAAUUUGUGCAGACACUAAACUUAAUUGGGUCAAUGCUUUACCAUUAGCAUUGAUGAGUUACCGCAUGCAAACUAAUCGAAUGACAUGCCUGACACCGCAUGAGAUGCAGGCUGGGAAGCUAUCAAACCUGUGAUAGGGGUAAGCAAAAAUGUUGAAUGGAUAAACUAUAUAUACUACAAUCAACAGAGAUUCAUCAACUACACUGAUGAUGCGCUGGAGGCCUUAGGGCAACAGCUGGAUGCAACUAGCAGGAUGACGUGGCAAAACAGACAGGUAUUGGAUUGGCUUUUGGCAGAAAAAGUGGGUGUGUGUGUGUAAUGUUUGGAGAACAAUGCUGCACUUUCAUACCGACCAAUACUAGCCCAGAAGGGUCUUUCACCAGAGCAAUGAAUAAAUUAAAGAAUCUGCGGACGGAGGUCAAACAGAAUGCAGGAUUUGAACAUCAGUUUUUUGAUCGGUUGGAAAGUAGACUCGGAGGAUGGGGAGCAUGGCUGACUAAAAUAGCAAUAACUGUCAGUAUUAUAUUGUUGAGCUGUGCGCUUGUGCUGUGCUGUUUUCUUCCUUGUCUCAAGUCUCUUGUAGUGCUUGCUGCAACCAAACAAUUUCCGAUGCUCGUGGCAAUUACUGAAGCAAGCUUAGUGGAGAAAGAAACACCGAAAAUGUAUCGUUACAGCCUACAACACCUGCAGGAUGAACAAGAGCAAAACGACAGUGUGGGAGUAGACUUGACCCUGUGCGCGAUGGCACGGCAGCUGCGAAACUGCGCUCGCCACAGCAGGUCCUGCAAACUCUGCACCUCUGCGUCCUGACCGUCCUAUUCUCCCUCGUGGGAUCGAGAGUGGCCUCUCUCACCGUGCUGGAAUUCUC